UUCCAGACUCCUACGGGAGGCAGCAGUGGGGGAUAUUGCACAAUGGGGGAACCCUGAUGCAGCGACGCCGCGUGGGUGAAGGAGCGUUUCGGCGCGUAAAGCCCUAUCGGCAGGGAAGAAGGAGGACGGUACCUGACUAAGAAGCCCCGGCUAACUACGUGCCAGCAGCCGCGGUAAUACGUAGGGGGCAAGCGUUAUCCGGAUUUACUGGGUGUAAAGGGAGCGUAGACGGCAUGGCAAGUCAGAUGUGAAAGCCCGGGGCUCAACCCCGGGACUGCAUUUGAAACUGUCAGGCUGGAGUGCAGGAGAGGUAAGUGGAAUUCCUAGUGUAGCGGUGAAAUGCGUAGAUAUUAGGAGGAACACCAGUGGCGAAGGCGGCUUACUGGACUGUAACUGACGUUGAGGCUCGAAAGCGUGGGGAGCAAACAGGAUUAGAUACCCCAGAA
rnacentral:rRNA from 1 species